rnacentral:rRNA from 1 species
CCUACGGGUGGCAGCAGUGAGGAAUAUUGGUCAAUGGGCGGGAGCCUGAACCAGCCAAGCCGCGUGAGGGAUGAAGGUUCUAAGGAUCGUAAACCUCUUUUGUAAGGGAAUAAAGAGUGGGACGUGUCCUAUGUUGUAUGUACCUUAUGAAUAAGGAUCGGCUAACUCCGUGCCAGCAGCCGCGGUAAUACGGAGGAUGCGAGCGUUAUCCGGAUUUAUUGGGUUUAAAGGGUGCGUAGGCGGGCUUUUAAGUCAGCGGUGAAAGCCCGGGGCUCAACCAGUGAAUGGCCGUUGAAACUGGCAGUCUGGAGUAGGUUAGAGGCAGGCGGAAUGCGUGGUGUAGCGGUGAAAUGCUUAGAUAUCACGCAGAACCCCGAUUGCGAAGGCAGCCUGCCGGGCCAUGACUGACGCUGAUGCACGAAAGCGUGGGGAUCAAACAGGAUUAGAUACCCUGGUAGUC